GGGGAUGUAGCUCAGUGGUAGAGCGUUUGCUUUGCAUGUGAAAGGUCCCGGGUUCGAUCCCCGGCAUCUCCA
rfam:Habropoda laboriosa contig17525, whole genome shotgun sequence.